rnacentral:rRNA from 1 species
GGGGUAAACCUGCGAAACUCGAAUGAACGAACGGAGAGAUUCAUCGUCAUUCCGCGGCGUACGGACGCGCGCCUCGAUGCCGUCGGCUUCGGCCGGUAGGCACGGGUCGCGUCCGUCGACGUCCGCGGACGGCGUGCACUUCUCUCUUAGUAAAUACAUCGCGACCCGUUCGAUGUCGGUCUAAGCGCUGUACGGGAGCCCCGUUGCCCCUUCACGGGGGUAGUGGGACCGCGACGGUGGCCGACCGGCCGUCGGACGGUAGUUUUGACGAAUCGCGCACGCGUUUAGACGCGUCCGGCCCGACGCAAGUCAACGUCGUAUCCUAUGUCUACGCCUUAGUGCGGACGCAGGUGCGGCGCGUCUGCUGUCGCCGCCGUGUUGUCUCGGACUGUGCGCGUCUCUGUCUGCGAUGAUUCAGUUUCGGGCACUCGCAGGACCCGUCUUGAAACACGGACCAAGGAGUCUAGCAUGUAUGCGAGUCAUUGAGAUAAUAAAACUGAAAGGCGCAACGAAAGUGAAGGCGCGCGCUAGCCGCGUGCUCAGGGAGGAUGGAGCGUCGAUCUAGGUCGAUCUCUCGCACUCCCGAGGCGUCUCGUUUCCAAUCCGUGAAUGCAGGCGCGCUC